rnacentral:rRNA from 1 species
UGACCUGCCCUCCACUCCGGGAUAAGCCUGGGAAACCGGGUCUAAUACCGGAUAGGACCUCUGGGUGCAUGCCUGGUGGUGGAAAGUUUUUUCGGUGGGGGAUGGGCCCGCGGUCUAUCAGCUUGUUGGUGGGGUGAUGGCCUACCAAGGCGACGACGGAUAGCCGGCCUGAGAGGGUGAUCGGCCACACUGGGACUGAGACACGGCCCAGACUCCUACGGGAGGCAGCAGUGGGGAAUCUUGCGCAAUGGGCGGAAGCCUGACGCAGCAACGCCGCGUGAGGGAUGACGGCCUUCGGGUUGUAAACCUCUUUCGCGAUCGACGAAGGUCCGGUUUUUGCCGGGCUGACGGUAGGUCGAGAAGAAGCACCGGCCAACUACGUGCCAGCAGCCGCGGUAAUACGUAGGGUGCGAGCGUUGUCCGGAAUUAUUGGGCGUAAAGAGCUCGUAGGCGGUGUGUCGCGUCGGCCGUGAAAACCUGGGGCUCAACUCUGGGCGUGCGGUCGAUACGGGCAUCACUUGAGUUCGGCAGGGGAGACUGGAAUUCCUGGUGUAGCGGUGAAAUGCGCAGAUAUCAGGAGGAACACCGGUGGCGAAGGCGGGUCUCUGGGC